UCUAUUCGCAUGCACUUUUACUUUGCUGUAAUUUAUAAUCAGCUAUUUGUAGAAUAUUCGGGUUCGUGAAAGAAAUACCUUAACCCUCUCGGACCGUACGUUGUUUCUACGCAACACGUGCUUCCAGGUCCCAUAAAACUGCAUCGGUCACUAAGUUCGGGGUUCUAAAUGCCUAGUUCCAUCAAGUAAGGUUAAAUUUCACCAUAGAUACUCUUAAACCAAAAGAUAAACUGCUUUAGUCAUCGAAAUGUCAAUAUGAAGCCAGCGUUUCGCGUUGAGUUGGCGCUGUGUGAAAACUUGCUUUAGUUAUCGCAAAAGAAAAUGAACGAUACAAGCGAUUGCCCGAACAUGAUAUCCCAGUUGUUCAUAGCGACACUGAAGCUUGCAACGUUGAAAAACGAAAAAAACAUCUGUAAUUGACCAAUUUUUUAUUUCACGAAGCAUCGGUGGAGGUUGAAAAACUACGAAUUGCGACUUCGGCAGAGAACGAAAUUGAAGAAUUACUGGAAUUAUUGGAGAGUUUUUUUAGACCAUUUCGCUGGACUCCAACAUUGGAAACUUCAGCGUCGUUGUUAAAAAAUAUCAAUUCCUUGAAACAAUAUUGUCCGCGCGCGGUGGCCUGAACUACACCGCACUGAUUAUUGAAAAUAAAUAGAAUUGAAUGUAA